rnacentral:misc_RNA from 1 species
CAUUAGUGAAUAUAGGACGUCCAACUUAACUUGGAGUCCGAACUCUCACUUUCUAACCCUGUGCACUUGUUUGGGAUAGUAACUCUCGCAAGAGAGCGAACUCCUAUUCACUUAUAAACACAAAGUCUAUGAAUGUAUUAAAUUUUAUAACAAAAUAAAACUUUCAACAACGGAUCUCUUGGCUCUCGCAUCGAUGAAGAACGCAGCGAAAUGCGAUAAGUAAUGUGAAUUGCAGAAUUCAGUGAAUCAUCGAAUCUUUGAACGCACCUUGCGCUCCAUGGUAUUCCGUGGAGCAUGCCUGUUUGAGUGUCAUGAAUACUUCAACCCUCCUCUUUCUUAAUGAUUGAAGAGGUGUUUGGUUUCUGAGCGCUGCUGGCCUUUACGGUCUAGCUCGUUCGUAAUGCAUUAGCAUCCGCAAUCGAACUUCGGAUUGACUUGGCGUAAUAGACUAUUCGCUGAGGAAUUCUAGUCUUCGGACUAGAGCCGGGUUGGGUUAAAGGAAGCUUCUAAUCAGAAUGUCUACAUUUUAAGAUUAGAUCUCAAAUCAGGUAGGACUACCCGCUGAACUUAAGCAUAUCAAUAAGCGGAGG